CCCGACUGAUGGUCCCUCGGACGGGACAUCCACAAGCACUGUCGGCGCCGACAGUGCGAUCACCGGCUCCGCCUCCGACCCGGCUGGUUCGCUCGGCGAAACCACGCGGGGCCUCUUGGGAGUCUGCGACGGCCCGGCACCUGCCGCCGGCCUCUUCCUCACGGCAUGCUGACGUAUGUCGGCUGCCGACAGUCGCGUCCUCGGCGGCAUAUCUGAAAAAGACGACGAAUGGUCAGAGC
rnacentral:lncRNA from 1 species